rnacentral:lncRNA from 1 species
ACCAUUCUACCUCCAUGUGAGAUCUCAUUCAAGCUCUAUCACUUAUCCUAAACCAUAUGGUGCAGAUUUCAAAUGAUUGCUUUUGUUAUUAUAGUAUUUAACAAUGUACUCUAAGACCAAAAUCCUUAUUAUUACAACAUGCAAAAAGUAUAGUUAAUAAAAAAUACAGUAAUCACAAGAGUUUCAACUUUGAUGGCAAAAAAAAAAUCUAUAGCAGUCAAGGAAAAUAAAAUUUUAAAAAUUUAAACUGAGAUUCAUGACUCCAUAACCGCUGCAGUUAAUGGCAAGAUUUCAAACUAAUUAUAUAUUUUAAAUAUAAAAAAUGCCAUGCAAUGUAAAAAUACAAAUAUAAAUCAGUCUCUUGCAAAAAGGUAAUUGAUAAGUUUAGAACAA